rnacentral:rRNA from 1 species
AGGAGGUUGGCUUAGAAGCAGCCAUCCUUGAAAGAGUGCGUAAUAGCUCACUGGUUAAGUGGUGAUGCGCCGAUAAUGUAGUGGGGCUUAUAAAGUACACCGCCGAAACCGCGGCAACACACAUUGUGUGUGUUGGGUAGGGGAGCGUCGUGCAUGCGUGGAAGCUGUCACGGAAGUGGUGGUGGAGUGUGUGCGAGUGAGAAUGCAGGCAUGAGUAGCGAAAAACAUGUGGAAAACGUGUUCGCCGGAUGACUAAGGGUUCCUGGGUGAAGCUAAUCUUCCCAGGGUGAGUCGGGACCUAAGGCGAGGCCGACAGGCGUAGUCGAUGGAUAACGGGUUGAUAGUCCCGUACCCGUGUAUGCGCGACAAGUGGUGACUCGGUUGUACUAACCACCCACCACCGCGGGAUCAAUGCUUUUGGUGUUGGUUUGGUGUGUGGUGCGUGGGAUCUUGAUCGUUGGUAGCCAAGCGAUGGGGUGACACAGAUUGGUAGUCAAGGCCACUUAUUGGAUUGUGGUGUAAGCGUGUGGCCCGUAGGAUAGGUAAAUCCGUUCUGCAUAUAGGGUGAGGCGUGAUGCGUACCCAGAUUGUUGGGGAUGUUUGAUGUGCCUGUGCUGUCGAGAAAAGCCUCUAGCGAUGUGUGUGCACGGCCCGUACCGGAAACCGACACAGGUGGUCUGGUUGAGGAUACUAAGGCGUUCGGGUGAACUAUGGUUAAGGAACUCGGCAAAAUGCCCCCGUAACUUCGGGAGAAGGGGGGCCAUGUGCGGCAAUCACCCUUUGUGCGGUGUGCGUUGUGUGUGGCCGCAGAGAAGUGAGGGAAGCGACUGUUUAUUAAAAACACAGGUCCGUGCGAAGACGUUGCAAGUCGAGGUAUACGGACUGACGCCUGCCCGGUGCUGGAAGGUUAAGAGGACUCGUGAGCACACCCUCGUGGUGUGUGAGGCGGGUAAUUGAAGCCCCAGUAAACGGCGGUGGUAACUAUAACCAUCCUAAGGUAGCGAAAUUCCUUGUCGGGUAAGUUCCGACCUGCACGAAUGGCGUAACGACUUCCCUGCUGUCUCAACCAUAGGCCCGGUGAAAUUGCAGUACGAGUAAAGAUGCUCGUUUCGCGCGGCAGGACGAAAAGACCCCGGGACCUUUACUAUAGCUUGGUAUUGGUGUGUGCUGCAGCUUGUGUAGGAUAGGUGGGAGACGUGGAAGCAUUCACGCUAGUGGGUGUGGAGUCAUUGGUGAAAUACCACUCUGGUUGUUGUGUGCAUCUAACUGUGGGCCCUGAUCGGGUUUUGGGACAGUGCCUGGUGGGUAGUUUAACUGGGGCGGUUGCCUCCUAAAUGGUAACGGAGGCGCCCAAAGGUUCCCUCGGCUUGGUUGGUAAUCAGGUUUGUAGAGUGUAAGUGCAGUAAGGGAGCUUGACUGUGACACUGACGGGUGGAGCAGGUGCGAAAGCAGGGACUAGUGAUCCGGCAUCAACGUGUGGGUGUGGUGUCGCUCAACGGAUAAAAGGUACCCCGGGGAUAACAGGCUGAUCUUCCCCAAGAGUUCAUAUCGACGGGAUGGUUUGGCACCUCGAUGUCGGCUCGUCGCAUCCUGGGGCUGGAGUAGGUCCCAAGGGUUGGGCUGUUCGCCCAUUAAAGCGGCACGCGAGCUGGGUUUAGAACGUCGUGAGACAGUUCGGUCUCUAUCCGCCGCGCGCGUGGAAACUUGAACAAGGCUGUCCCUAGUACGAGAGGACCGGGAUGGACGUACCUCUAGUGUGCCAGUUGUCACGCCGGUGGCAUGGCUGGUUGGCUAUGUGCGGGAGGGAUAACCGCUGAAAGCAUCUAAGCGGGAAGCCUGUUGUGAGAUGAGGUUUCUGUUGAGGUUCCCUCAAGAUGAGGGGGUUGAUAGGUCGGAGUUGGAAGCAUCGCAAGGUGUUGUGAGAUGACCGAUACUAAUAUAACCGACACAAACACAC